rnacentral:rRNA from 1 species
UACAGAGGGUGCAAGCGUUAAUCGGAAUUACUGGGCGUAAAGCGUGCGUAGACGGUUAUUUAAGUCAGGUGUGAAAGCCCCGGGCUCAACCUGGGAAUUGCAUUUGAGACUGAAUAGCUAGGGUGCGGAAGAGGGAAGCGGAAUUUCCGGUGUAGCGGUGAAAUGCGUAGAUAUCGGAAGGAACACCAGUGGCGAAAGCGGCUUCCUGGUCCAGCACCGACGUUCAGGCAUGAAAGCGUGGGGAGCAGACAGG